rnacentral:rRNA from 1 species
UACAGAGGUGGCAAGCGUUGUUCGGAAUUACUGGGCGUAAAGGGCGCGUAGGUGGCCUUCUUAGUCAGACGUGAAAUCCCCGGGCUUAACUCGGGAACUGCGUCUGAUACUGGAAGGCUGGAGUUCGGGAGAGGAAUGUGGAAUUCCAGGUGUAGCGGUGAAAUGCGUAGAUAUCUGGAGGAACACCGGUGGCGAAGGCGGCAUUCUGGACCGAAACUGACGCUGAGGCGCGAAAAGCCAGGGGAGCAAACGGG